AUGGGAAGGUGUAAAGUCUCCUGUAUCUUCCGCCUGGGCUCCACUCAUGGUAACAGUUCCCCUAACCUGACCGUCCUGCCCCCCUCUAGUGAGGAGCUGUCACAUAAGACAACGGCCACACUGACGUGUCUGGCCAACAAAGGCUUCCCCUCAGACUGGACCAUGAGCUGGAAAGUGGACGGCAACAGCAAGAAGCAGGACGGCAACGACGGCCUGUACAGCUGGAGCAGCACCCUGACUCACACUGCCCAGGAGUGGAUCAAGGCAGUGUCCAUAACCUGUGAGGCCCACCAGAGCUCCCAGCAUCCCGUCACCCAGACCUUGGGGAGGGCUGACUGUUCUGGGUAG